rnacentral:sRNA from 1 species
AAUUGUGCGCUCACAGCGCUGGCGCUAGCCCACGAAGACGUACGAUUCGGGAGAAUCGCGAGGCAGAGCGAGAGCGCGCAGCCAGGUGGAAACUAAUUCUAAGCCAGACUGCCGGAGAUCACCCUGUUGUAGUGUGUGGAGGCUUCCACCAGGAGGCGCAUUGGAGUGACUGUCUGGUAUCACCAAGAUGACACUCCACACCACCCGGGGGUCUGCACUCCUCUCUUGGGUGAACAGUCUGCACGUGGCUGACCCUGUGGAGGCUGUGCUGCAGCUCCAGGACUGCAGCAUCUUCAUCAAGAUCAUUGACAGAAUCCAUGGCACUGAAGAGGGACAGCAAAUCUUGAAGCAGCCGGUGUCAGAGAGACUGGACUUUGUGUGCAGUUUUCUGCAGAGUAAGCACCUUUCUUAUCCAGCUAUGAAGAAGCUGCUUCCUCAGCUCGUGGGAUUGGAGAGUCCAGAGGAACUAGUUCAUGGGUGUCUGGAGGAGAAAAAUUUCAAGGCUCCCCACUCUUUAACACAAAGAUGAAGACAACUGGUUCAGAUCCCCUGGGUCUUGUGAUGCCUUCAUCAGUUGGUGUAAAAAGAGUGUCCCUUC